rnacentral:lncRNA from 1 species
CAGUGUAGGGAUCUGGGAUGAGAAUGUGGAUGGUUGUUAGAGAAUAACUUAUACUGAGCGAGAUCAAUACGAAAAAUCACAUGGAUGUCUACUCACUCAUCAGUUGUUGACUUGAUGCUGCAGUGGUGUGAGUGAUCCUUUAACCUGUAGUGUCAUUGACUAUUUGCAGCGAGACUACUGAAUUUGAUUGCACGUUUCCUUAAUCCCUAGCCAUUCGAAUUCUUGCUGUGUAUGUUGGCUACAGUAAAUUCAGAUUUACAGUCAGAAAUAAGAUGCAUCUAGAUGAAAUCUAUCGAUCUUGAUAGAAAAGGAGAAGUCCUAUGCGAUUUGUGAGACUGAGUUUAAAAUAUCUUUGGUCAAAACAAGUAUGAGUACUGAAAAAGAGUUUCUACGAAACUCAUAAAUGAACUCGAGUCGAGCCAAUCUUACAUAUGACUGAUGAUGAGAUAUGAUGAGUUCUCUAUGAUCUUCAUCAAAUCAGAACUCACGAUAGAAGAAUUAAAUCAUACGAUAACCGCACCUAAAGAUUCACACAUACAGCUAGUUGCCACUGCAUACUGCUAGGUAUCAUUGAUGGAUUGCGAAACUCAUCGGAUAUCAUCUUGAUGAUCUAUGACCCUCAAAAAAUAGAGUUAAAAUUAUUCCAACCCAUCGAAAGGAGUUUCGAUGAUAUUGUGAUAGAGAUUACAAUAUAUCUCACUACC